UGGGGAAUUUUGGACAAUGGGGGCAACCCCGAUCCAGCCAUGCCGCGUGCGGGAAGAAGGCCUUCGGGUUGUAAACCGCUUUUGUCAGGGAAGAAAUCCUUUGAGCUAAUACCUCGGGGGGAUGACGGUACCUGAAGAAUAAGCACCGGCUAACUACGUGCCAGCAGCCGCGGUAAUACGUAGGGUGCGAGCGUUAAUCGGAAUUACUGGGCGUAAAGCGUGCGCAGGCGGUUAUGUAAGACAGAUGUGAAAUCCCCAGGCUCAACCUGGGAACUGCAUUUGUGACUGUAUAGCUAGAGUACGGCAGAGGGGGGUGGAAUUCCACGUGUAGCAGUGAAAUGCGUAGAGAUGUGGAGGAACACCGAUGGCGAAGGCAGCCCCCUGGGCCGAUACUGACGCUCAUGCACGAAAGCGUGGGUAGCAAACA
rnacentral:rRNA from 1 species